rnacentral:lncRNA from 1 species
CUCACAGAGUGUUUGGAUCAUUUGUAGAGUCAGAACAGACGCAGCUUCACCUCAGACCAGCGGCUCAGAAAGCAGCAGAAAAUGGGAAAAACAUACAUGGUGGUGCGGCUGCUCUUCAUCUUCUUCAAUGCGCUGUUCGCAAUUGCUGGAUGUGUGUUGCUGGGUCUGACGGUGAAAGUCACCGUUGAUCUCUACAGGGAGGCUCCGGCCGUCGCUGGCUUUCCUCCGCUGGUGUUGGCGUGGUUGUUGUCCUUCGCCGUCAUUGGUGUUUCUGUGCUGGGAAUAUACGGCGCCAUCAAAGAGAAGAGGAUCCCACUUAUCGUCUUUGCUGUUUUAAUGGGAAUUGCAGCCGUCGUCAUGGCAGCAUUUGGUUUUCAAGGCGUGGCCACCAUAAACCAGAUGAAGUCACUCAUCAGACACAAUUCACCUGAACAUUUGGCUGCUAUAGAGUCCAUUAGAAGCAUCGUCUUGGGAUUCUACUUCGGCACCUCUGGAGUCGCUCUGCUGGUUAUGUUGAUGUCCGCCCUCAUAUUUGAUCAGAUCCAACCAAAAGAGCGGCAGAUGGCUUUGUCCCCAUGAGGACAUCUAACGGAGACACUCAUCUGGUGGAUGUCAACUACUGAGCUCAGCAUUUAACCACGUUUGCUCGCCCACGUUUAUAUUCACAAUCAGCUUUCUGUGUCGUUCAUGGGAACAAGGAAAUAUAAACUGCAUGAGAAAUGUUUGUAUUUUAUGUUUUAGCCUGUUACAUGUCAGUCAUUUCAGAAUUAAAGGACAUUUAACGCAACGUCAUUUAGACGUUCUUUUUUGGGCUAAAUGUGGUUGGUCCAUCUUAGCCUCAAUUUGGCCCAAAUAUGGUCGUUUAAAUAAGGUUAUUAUUUGAUUGUCCAACAUUGUACAAUUUUAGUCCUUAUUUAGUCGCUGAAAUUAGUGGUUUUUUUGACAUUCAAAAUUUAGCCCCAAUAUAGUCGUUGAAAUUUAGUCGUCAUUAGAUCAUCUAACUUGGUCCAAUUUUAGCCCAAUUAUAUUUGUUAAAAUUUAAUUGCUAUCGGGCCAUGCAACUUGGUCCAAAAUUAGCACAUUUGGUCCAAGUGUGGCUCAAGAAUAAUCAUUGGAAAAAGGACUUCUCAUUUGGGGCUAAGUAGCUCAACAAUUUUAACCCUUUCAUUUUGGCUAAUUUGGACCAAAGUAGCCAAAAUAAUAAUAAGAAAUUGUAACAUAACAGCCCACAAACGUAAACCAAAAAUACAAAUCUGACCCUGGUACAAGUUGACUGCAAAGUUCCCACAACUGACCCCCCGUUUACUUUGGCCAAGUCCGUCCUUGUAGUGAGUUGGUCUCGUCUGCAAUGGCUGAAGGAAGUGUUUUUGGGGCGAUACGCCCAAACUGCACUGUUUUUACUACACCAGCUUUUGCAGCGAGACCUGACAUCUCCCUAUGAACUGAGGAGGAAACGAUGGGGAUGAAUCCGUGUACCCUUUGUUCUUCAAUAUUUUGUUUCAAAACCAAAUUAAAAAAUAGAAAAAACUGUUUUUUUUGUUUUAUUAAUUUAAAACCAGAAACAGGAAAACGAAUGCAUUCAUGUGAUAUAAACAGAGAAUAAACGCAAGCUCCUAAAAAUACUGUGAACUUUC